GGCGAAAUAGCUCAGUUGGGAGAGCAGUAGACUGAAGUCCGAGUCCCGAUUGAAGCCGGUGAUUACGUAAUCUAAAGGUCCCCGGUUCAACCCCGGGUUUCGCCA
rfam:Sistotremastrum niveocremeum HHB9708 unplaced genomic scaffold SISNIscaffold_24, whole genome shotgun sequence.